UCCCACAUGGCGCAGUGGUUAAAGCAUCUGGCCGCGCAUUAGCGUACGACUACGUGAAGCGAGUGGGUUCGAAUCCCGCUGUGGGCU